rnacentral:rRNA from 1 species
AUGGAAGCUCCAGAUCGAGAUUGGCCCGAGCUACCAAUCGACAUAUUGUGCGACGUGCUCAAGUUGCUCGAGUGCCCAGACCUCCUCCGAUCCGCCGCUGUCUGCUCAAUCUGGUACAAGGCCUACUCCGCGCAACGCUGCAUCAGUUCUUGUCCUGGACACCAAACACCAUGUCUACUCUAUUGCACUGAGGCCGCCGGCGGGCUCAGAGCUCUCGGCAUGUACAGCCUCUCCGAGCGGAAGGCCUACACCAUGCCGCUCCCUGAACUUCCGAUCAAGAACUGGAUCGGCUCAUCGCACGGAUGGCUAGUCACUAUGGAUGACAAGUCUGAGCUGAUGCUGCUCAACCCGAUCACCAGCAACACUAUUGUACUCCCUCCGGUGACAACCAUGGAACAUGUUAAACCUGUCCUAAACGGCGACGAAGUUCUUGAAAAGUAUGAGGUGUUUUACUAUGAUGGAGAGCUUCCGAGGGUCGUGGAGAAGGACACCAGUGGAUGCAUCGUCAUGCUCAUCCACCAGCCGUACGGCCAGCUCUCGUUUGCCAAGGUAGGAGAUGAUCGCUGGAAUUGGCUCACCGUAUGUAGCUACUACACAGAUUGUGUACACCACGACGGGUGGUUCUAUGCAGUUACUGAAGAUGGCGCGAUCGAUGCGUACAAUUUACAUGAACCGUCUGUCAUCCACAAAAGGUUCUUACCCAAAAUAAUCCAGAGGGUUUCGAAAUGUCACGUUGUUCAGGCACAAUGGGGAGAUGUCCUCCAAAUCAUCAGGAGGCAGAUUCUUAAUCCUGAUCGUGAACAACCGGGCAGUCGGAAGUGGAUCACUGAAAUUGAAGUGUACAGGGUUGAUUUUGAUGAGCAGAAGUGUGUCAACAUCACCGGGAUAGGGGACUAUGCAUUGUUCAUUGGGAGCAGCACAACGUCUUGUUUAAGCGUGAAGGACUAUCCAGACUUGAUUCCAAACCAUGUCUAUUUUACUGACGACGACGAGGCAGCACACAUUUUCCGGAAAGAUGACCCUCCUGAGGUUGGAAUUUACGACAUUAAAAGUAAUACAACGGUGAAUGUGGUUCAUCCUGAACUUUGGAUGAAUUGGUUGCCUCCAAUAUGGUUGACGCCGAGUCUUGCAAAAACGGGUACGGUUCUACUUGUCCCUUGA